AGAGAAUAGAUACCCCGGGUAGUCCACGCCGUAAACGAUGAGAACUAGCUGUCGGGGCUCUUGGAGUCUCGGUGGCGCAGCUAACGCGUUAAGUUCUCCGCCUGGGGAGUACGGCCGCAAGGUUAAAACUCAAAGAAAUUGACGGGGGCCUGCACAAGCGGUGGAGCAUGUGGUUUAAAUUCGAAGCAACGCGCAAAACCUUACCAGCGUUUGACAUGGUAGGUCGGUUUCCAGAGAUGGGUUCCUCCCCUUACCGGGGUCCGUACACACAGGUGCUGCAUGGCUGUCGUCAGCUCGUGUCGUGAGAUGUU
rnacentral:rRNA from 1 species